rnacentral:rRNA from 1 species
UAGACGCUGGCGGGAGGCCUAUACUUGCAUGUCGUACCGUGGUACCCGUAAGUUGGCUCCUUGGGUGACGGGUGGCGUACGGGUGAGUAUUGUCUGGCAACCUGCCCGAUGUAGGGGGAUCAGUACUGGAAACGGAGGCUAAUACCUCUUAUCGUCGCAGGACCUUUGAGGGGGACCUUCGUGCCUCUUGCCAUCGGAUGUGCCCAGAUGGGAUUAGCUAGUAGGUGGGGUAACGGCUCACCUAGGCGACGAUCCCUAGCUGGCCUGAGAGGAUGACCAGCCAUUCUGGAGCUGACACACGGUCCAUACUCCUACAGGAGGCAGCAGUGGGGAAUAUUGCUCAAUGGGCGCAAGCCUGAUGCAGCCGUGCCGCGUGUAUGAAGAAGGCCUUCGGUUGUAAAGUACUUUCCGAGGAGGAAGGGGUGGUGGUUAAUAACCAUUUGAGUUACUCAAAAAAUCCCGGCUAAUCCUGCAGCGCCCGGUAAUACGAGACGCAGUUUAAUCCAACUUCUGGGCUUAAGUCACCAGGCGGUCUGCCAGUCGGAUGUGAAAUCCCCGGGCUC